rnacentral:rRNA from 1 species
GACCGACGAACGGAGACCACCAUGCAAGUCGAGCGGAUGAAGGGAGCCUGCUCCUGGAUUCAGCGGCGGACGGGUGCCCAUCAAGGAGGAAUCUGCCUGGUAGUGGGGGAUAACGUCCGGAAAAGGGCGCUAAUACCGCAUACGUCCUGAGGGAGAAAGUGGGGGAUCUUCGGACCUCACGCUAUCAGAUGAGCCUAGGUCGGAUUAGCUAGUUGGUGGGGUAAAGGCCUACCAAGGCGACGAUCCGUAACUGGUCUGAGAGGAUGAUCAGUCACACUGGAACUGAGACACGGUCCAGACUCCUACGGGAGGCAGCAGUGGGGAAUAUUGGACAAUGGGCGAAAGCCUGAUCCAGCCAUGCCGCGUGUGUGAAGAAGGUCUUCGGAUUGUAAAGCACUUUAAGUUGGGAGGAAGGGCAGUAAGUUAAUACCUUGCUGUUUUGACGCCACCAACAGAAUAAGCACCGGCUAACAUUCGUGCCAGCAGCCGCGGUAAUACGAAGGGUGCAAGCGUUAAUCGGGAAUUACUGGGCGUAAAGCGCGCGUAGGUGGUUUCAGCAAGUUGGAUGUGAAAUCCCCGGGCUUAACCUGGGAACUGCAUCCAAAACUACUGAGCUAGAGUACGGUAGAAGGUGGUGG